GUUCCCUUAGUUAAAUGGAUAUAACAACUUCCUCCUAAGAAGUCGUUGUAGGUUCGAUUCCUACAGGGGACA
rnacentral:tRNA from 2 species